rnacentral:tRNA from 1 species
GGGGUUGUGGCUCAGCGGUAGAGCGCUCGCCUGGCAUGUGCGAGACCCUGGGUUCUAUCUCAGCACCACA